CCUCAAUUUUUUUUUUAUUUGAUUUAUUUACUGUUAGUAAUAUACCCUAAACCCAAUCGGUGACAUAGGNNNNNNNNNNNNNNNNNNNNNNNNNNNNNNNNNNNNNNNNNNNNNNNNNNNNNNNNNNNNNNNNNNNNNNNNNNNNNNNNNNNNNNNNNNNNNNNNNNNNUUUGCUUUUCUUUUCUUUUCUUUUUGUUUUUUUUUCUUUUUGUUUUGUUCUUUGUGAUAUCCAAAGCAUUCCAGUUACUCCAUGCCCCCUCCAAAAGGCAUUGCAAAUUGAAAAUUUAAUUAUUAGGUAAAUCAAAAAAAUUAUAAUUAAAAUUUUUUUGUUUAUCAAUAUAUGGACAAAAGAUUUGUUCGAGCCCUCCGCUUCUACCAUAGAUAUCUAUUGUUUCUUCACAAAUAUUUUGUAUCAAAAUUUGUCGCACCGCGGAAUUUUUGGCAAAUUAAGGAAACAAAAUCGAACUCAAUAAACAAAUUUUGAGCCACAUCAAUCAUAAAAUUUUAUUUUUGCGCUAGAAUAUUGAAAAUAUUGAUAAAAUUAAAAGCUAAAUUAAAUCAAUUGAUAAUUAAAUUUAUUUAAUUUAUUUGUCAUAUAAUUUAUUGCUUAAUUUUUUUUAGAGAUCUACUAAUUUUUUAGAAAAAUAACUUUUUUCUAAUACUUUUUAAAAUAAUUUUUUCAAAUAUUUUUUAAAAUUAUUUUUUUGUAUUUUAUAAAAGAAAAACUGUAAUAUGGUCAGAAGAAAAAAGAAAAAAAGAUGUCUUUGCAUUUUAAAAAUUUUAAUCUGUAAAAAUUUUUAUUCUGCAUCAGAUAUAAUUGUACUUUACAUACAAAAAAGCUUACAAAUAUAUUAAUUGAUAAGUAUAGUAAGCUAUACAUAGCAAAUAUUUAUAAUUAUUUGAUUAAAAUUUUCAAAAUAACGUUAUAGAGCUUAUUGGAACCAAAAAAACUGAAGUAAGUCUGUAUCAAAACGUGCCAGUAGAAGGUCGUGCGUAUCCAUCGGCACGCAAGCGUACCAUGUGUCAGCACGGAAGCGUGCCGGUGUCGUACCAUGCCAGGCAGACAGCGGCACGGCAGACAGCGGCACGCCCCCGUGCCACGGCACUUUAAACCUUGAUCCCAAUAUGCUAUAUUUUGUUUUUAAUAGUAUAGAGUUUGCUCAUUAAAACCUCUUUAGCGGUUUGUCAUGAGCUAAGUGAUUUUGCUCGUAAAGUCCGUGCAGCGCCCGCCUUCUUCAGCGAAGAUGGGCAAGCCUUGCUCUUUGUUUGCUCCUGAACCAAAAUGCCCUACGAGUAAGUGCAAAAGAGUGAAAAGAGAGAGAUAAAGCUUCUGUGAAAAAAAUUUAAGUACUUCUCUUAUUUAGAAAACAGAAUACAAGUACAACUCUCCCUUGCUUACUUUGGCCUUAACCAAUGAACACACCACAAACAGCCUAGAAAACGGUAAAGAGAACCCUUGAGUUGCCCAUGGCCCUUUGACUUUUGCUCGGCAGUUUUCUGAGGCAUUAAUUCUUGUCGUUCCAUGAUGUUUCGUCUCUCGCAGAAGUUGUUGGAACAAUGCCUCUUGGGCUGCCCCAUUUCAGUUUGCAAAGCUGGUCAGGGACAUGAGUCGAAAUUUUUUGAUGUUCCUAAGAGGUCACCAUAGUGGCCAUAACAGUCGCUAUUUAGAACGCUGGUCUUUGAAAGUAACCUUGCUCAUAAAACUUUGAUAUGUCAUCAAAUUCACUCAACUAAUUUUGAGAUGGAUCGACAAAUAGUUAACUAUCAAAUUGUAAUCUCAACCAAUGAGAUUUAAAAUGUCUUUUUAUGGGGUACCGUUACCGGAAACAGUAAAGGUUAGAGAAUGUUGAAUAUUAGGAGUAUGUCAAUUCUAGGGUCCAUGCUGGCCCAGUUGUUGCUCUACUCAUUUAAGUCCUUGGUCCAAUAGGAUAAUUAAACUGAAGGCCUAUACUGGAUCUCAACCUGUUGUUUUUAGGACCUUAAGAAGCCCGUUGAAGGCCUGAUCCUCUGGACUGCAAGCUAGUCCUGGCCCUUCAGCGACUAUAAUUACGGAAUAUGAUUUUGUGGUUUUAAAGUUGUUUCUAUGUCUUACUAUGGUAUCAUAUGUCCUGAGAUAGAAAUUGAGGCGUUUAACUUUGUGUUAAAAUCUUAAUUUAGUUAUUAUUAUUGGUCUGUUUUUAUGUCUGCAGAAAUUAAACUUGUAGAAAUUGAGUUCCACAAUUGUAACACCACCAAUAGUCUCACAUCGGAUGGAAAAUGGAUUCUAAUUUGGAAUAUAAGAGGCCUCUAUGCUAGUAAUAAUAACUGGGUUUAAGCAUUUUGGCCAGUUGUUUGGGCCGAACGAGUUAUUAUUACUAGCAGGUAGGGUCGUUACAAUUGGUAUCAGAGAUGAAUACCAGCCGAAAGUGUGAGAGUUAAGUGCUAUGCGGGGUAAAGUGCUACACCAACGGAUUUAGUAGGAGCCACCUCUUGAACCCUAGGAGCCACCUAUAAAAUCUCACGUCGUCUGAUAAUUUUGGUCUGUCUGUAAUCUGGGUUUGGAUUUGACGAGGACUUCAAGGUUUAAAUUGAGGAGUCUGUAACUAUCACGCCCCGAGCUCCGCCUAUUUGGUCGGAUUCGGGAACGCCGACAGACCGCCGAACGGACAGAGCUUUCCCUGUAUGUUCUAGGCGUCACAAUCUAAACAAUGCAACAGAAGAGGUCCCAACCAGGAACAGUAGCAAGUAUAUAGAUUGCAUAAGUAUCAAAAACAUAAAAUGCUAACUAUGCUAUUACAAGCAUUCAUCUCACAGAUUUUACAUUUAGAAUAUUACAAAUGCCUUUAUGUUCUUACAUAAGUCUUUAUACAAUUUACAACUUAUACAAUUUACUACAAAUUUGUUUCUUUCAACCUGAACUCUGAGCUAGACUGCUUCAGGGUACUGCUAUCUCUGGUCUCGGUGGUAGGGCGCUAUCUACGAAGCUACGCCCUGUCCUCGCGCCGCCGCGCCGCUCGCGUGCGAACCUGUACCCCCAAAAACCACACGGGGGUGAGAAUUAUAUAAAUAUAGUUCCCAGUGGGUACGGCCACCCAAGAGAAGAGCUCGACCCACCAGGUCCAAAGGAGGCAACUGCAGGUUAGUUUAAUAAACAGAUAGACAUAUAUUUGACUAUGUAUGCAAAUAAAUAAAACCAUGCCUUGCCUCGCAACUGUAUCGAUGCUAUGCAAUAUGCAAUACCUGUAAAUCAUGCAAGUAGAUUACUUGAUUCUACUUUAUAUCAUUAACCAUUCUUUACUUGUAGCCGUUCUUUUCUUUAUUAGCUAUUCACGUUCAUUAGCUACUCUCUUUAUUCUUUAUUUUUUUUCGUUCUUUAUCAUAUUAUGCCCACUGGCGAUUCUUUCUUAAGGUUAUUUUACCUUAGCCAUCUAGCCACUCGACUCGGUCUUGAGUCAAUCAACCGCGGAGUACCGCGUCAAGUCAGGCUCGAGGUGAAGGACGUCUCACAAGCACCUCAGCCUUAAGUCCACGCGACACUAGGUCCAUCACAGGGAGAGGAGAACCGUCGAUCCCCGUGACCCUAAGUCGCUCGAGCUGAACGGGCGAGGAGAACCGUCAAACCCGUUGAGCUCAUACCGGGAGAGGAGAACCGUCGAUCCCGUUGAAUCACUACCGGGAGAGGGGAACCGUCGAUCCCGUAGUUCUGAUUCUAUUUUGCCAACAGCACAUCUCUAUGGAUUCCGGAACCCACUUUCACAACUUAAGGGUUUACUCUUUUACCCUAUGUCGACGACCUUUCUAGGUCUAUACCACUCACUUUUCACUUUCUAGUGGUCCUAUUACCACUAUAAUUCAUAACUUAGUUUAAUUUUACUAAGUGUCUCUAUGCAUCAUAACCUAGGUUCACUUACGCUAGGUUUUAUUCUCUCACCUAGAUCUCGACUCUAGGUUUACUAAUUCAACCUAUGUUCAAUGACAUUAGGUUAUGUCCGACCUAUGUUUAAUAACAUUAGGUUCAUGCCACUCGAUCUAUAUGUGUCAUUCUAGGUAUCCUUGCCUAGGUUCAUAAUUUACAUAUUAAUACUUGCUUUGUCCCUAUCGAGAUUUCUAAUCUAUUAAAAUUAUCGAGUUAUACCCGACUCUCAUAAACUUAGCAUGUCCACAAUAUGUCAAAUUCACAUAACUUCAACCUUAAUCAUAAUAUAUUAACAUGCACCUAGCAUUCACUUUCAUAUAUGUUUAAGCAUAUACAAUUAGUAAUCACGAUUCUUGUAUUGAUAUGCAUUUAACAUUCACAUGCAUCUAGCAUUUAUAUGCAUCUAACAUGUUUAUCACAUGUCAAUAUUCAUACAUUACUUGAGAUGAUUAUCAAUGCAUUCAUGUGCAUAUUGCAAUGGUAGGUAACUUAGCUAUGACCUCACGAUUCACGUAAUCAUUUCAUCAUCUAUUCCUUUCCAUAUAAAUAUAUGCAUCAAUGAGAAUCAAAGAUUACUUUGACAUGGAAGCGACCUAAUCGCUUCGGUAAGCACAACCCACCUUUAUUUGAUAUCGGAAUGUGAGAACUUCACUUCUCGUACUUUUCCAAGAAUCGCAAUCCUCGUUCGUGACAAUUGGAGUCGAAAAUGUCCUUUUGGCGAUAUUUUCGUAUAGGCUCGACGGAUUGCCGAACCGACUUCGCCAACGCGUUCGUUUAACCUUCAAUUAGGUUUGUACGCGGUCAAUUCCCCGCUAGGACUUCAAUCCUGCAAAAGCGCAUUAUUGAGGUUAGGUUCUAAUUAACCUAUUACUAUAUAUAAAUUUUCCUAUACAGGUUGUUAUACAGGAUAUCCAUAAGCCUACUCUAGGCUUCUUUUUUUUUUUCUUGCAAACGACAGUAUUAACCUUUGCUAGGUUUACUAGGGUAAACUCUUUACUAAUAAUCAAGAGUUCAUCACUCCAGCCCAAAUCCAUUGAUAUAGAGAUUCACACUAACCUCUAAACAUAAUUUGUAAAAUAGCCUUCUCUACUUUCCAAUUACCAAAACUCACCCAUGAUAUCUAUGUGUACAGCUUGCUCUAUUAGGUCUCCAUCACUCAAAAUCUUUAAUUAGGGAAUUGAAGAGACUUAUCUCAAUCCCUUAAUUAAGUUCUGCAGCUUUCUUACAAAUCUAUCCCUGCAGCCCCAUUCUUUACACUAGCAGCAGCAGUAGCAAUUAGCAGCAGUAGCAGUAGUAGCAGUAGUAAUUAGCAGCAGCAGUAGCAUUAGCAUUAGCUGCAGCAGCAGCAUUAGCAAUAGUAGCUGCAGCAAUAACAGUAGGUUUUAAGAUUCAUACCUCCAACAACUUAGAAGUCUCAACUCACAACUUUCCACUAGGGAAUUGAAGAAAUUUGCAUCAAUCCUUAAUGUGGAUGAGCUAAAUAUCUUAUCUUAUCUUCAAAUGCCCCAGUUCAUAUCAUAAUACCUACUACACAGAACAUCACUUCUUUAGGAUUUAUAAAAAGCUUAGCUUUUAGUAAUUUAACAAACCUCAAGCUAACUCCGUUUACAAGUAGUUACCUUAGUUCAAUGCUCCAAUUGCGGAUCACUUUCCAGCCUAUAAAGUCCCUCAUAAUCAACUUACAAAGUAACUUAAUUCUAAGCCUCAAUACUCCAUUUUCAGCCAAGAGUCCAAUUUUACAUUUCCUUAAUCAGGACUUGCAAAAUAACUCUUAGAAACCAAACACAACUGAAGCUACAUAUAGCUCCCUUUUUAAGCUUUUUAUAGCAACACACGUUCUAGCAGUCCGAACUCUAUAAAUUUAGAGAUUCAUAUCCAUUUCUAACAAGAACUUACAAGGUAGCUCUCUUUUUUUUUUUUUUUUCCUUUGUUUCCCUUUCCUUCUCUCUCUCACGCGUACAGGAGAGGAUAACAAUGGAGGUUCCCCUGGCAGGUUAGUGGAAAUCCACUAAGCCUAUGCGAUAAUUACCAUAAUGCCCUCAACUCAAUACAAGUUAGCAGCACGGAUUAGAUACCUUUCGCAGGCCCUUCCAAAUGUCCGUUUGCGCUCAAAUUUGACAGGCAUGUUCGGUUUUACUUAAUAAGUCCAAAGAAAUUUUAACAUUUCAGUUUCGACCCCAUUUGGUCACCGAAACUGUACCGAACUGCAAUCUUUAUCAGAUAGCUUUCGGAUUCUAUUUCUCACUCUACGAGUGUCAGAAUAAUGUGAAACUUUAAAUCUAGCCUCAUAAAAAUAUUCCUGACAUAUCCUCCAGUUUUCAUAAUUUUCUGACACUGUGUAUUUUCUGCUAAUUUUUCAGUCUCGUUCUUUACAGAAAAUUCUAAAUCUUCUGUUUCCGCUCCGAUUUCAACACGAGUCAUUCCAGACUUAUAUUUUACACCCUUAAGUCCAAUCAAAUGGUAUCUCACACCAUUUUAUAUUAUCUUGCUCACUUUAAUUCUUUUAAUCAAAGUUAGCGUCGGAAAUCCGCAAAUUUUCUUUACAUUUCGUUUCGCGCCCAAUUUGCGUCGAAACACUUAUUUAUCUCCAGAAUUCAUUCACACGCAUCACAAAUCACUCGAGGAUGAUGUCCAACUAGCUCAAUCCUCACUUUGAUCCCCCAGAUCAAAGUUGACAUCGUAACUCCCAAAUUUCCAUAUAUUACAGUAACGCCUCCAAUAAUCCCACAUCGGAUAAAAAAUGGGUUCUGAUUUGGAAUAUAAAAAGCCUCCACGCUAGUAAUAAUAACUGGAUUUAAGCAUUUUGGGCCGGUGGUUUGGGUCCAACGAGCUAUUAUUGCUAGCAGGUCGGGUUGUUAUAGUAAUCGAAGUCCUUGAUGGUUGUGGGAUAAGAUGCUCAUUUCUCUAUGGUGUGUCACUGUCAUAAAAUAACAGUUUUCAAGGACUGAUAUGGACAUAUAAUUUGGUACCCAAGUUUGCGAUUACAUGCACUAGUAAAAAUUGCGGAAGAAAAAGGACUAAUAAGGUGUUAACUUUCAGCUCUGUCAUAUGAUGGAUGUACUUCUUGGCUAUCAAAUAUGGUAAUCUAUUUAGAGCUCUUAUUGCAAGCAGCCUUUCCUUAUCUCUUUCCUUGAUAGGGAUGCAAACAAUGCUUGUAUACAGUAAGUUAACAAGACUGUUUCUUGGUUGACUGGUGAAGUGGAGAAGAUCCUCCUUUUAACUAUAUCAUAGGAAGUUCAUCAAGAUAUUGUAGGUAACCUUUUGGCUCAUCUAUUGUGGGUACCACGCUUGUAAGACAAUGUGUUUGGUCAUUUCUUCUCACCCCUCUUGCGGUAGUAGAGGCGAUCCUCUUUUUUAAGACCCAUCUCUAUUUAUUCAUUGCUAUUCUUUAUUUUUUUUCCUUUAGUUACAGAUGAUUUCCAAUGUUGAAGGUUGUGACCUUUUGGUUUUGUCAUCUUGUUUCCAUAUCUGUGGAAAUUUUGAAGUCCUACCUAGUGGUAUGAGCUUAAGACAUGAUCGUGGCUUCAAUAUUAAGAGAAUAUCAUGGAAGCUAUUAAACGUAAGAAUCUAUCUCGAGCCUUUUAUGUUUAGUUGUGCUAUAGCUGACCCAGUGUUGCCAUAUAUGGCUUAAUUGAUUAUGGUGAUGGCUAUGAUUUGAACAAAUAAAUUAGAAUUGAAACUCCAGAAAUAUUUUUUUUUUAAUAUUCUAUCUGUUUACUGUCUGAUAAUAUGAUUUUCUCCUCUAUCAAAAUAUUGAUGACUUAUACUGAUUUCAGUCAGAAAUUGAGGCCCAUUAUGAUGUUCAUGUGUUUUCAGUUGAGUUUUCGGCCGUCUGGAUCCUUGAAUUUAGUGUAUUGGAAGUCGAUAUUUUCAAUCAGAUUAAUUAAUUGCUACUGUUGAUCAUUAUGUUAAUGAUUUUUGCAGCACCAAUUUGAGACUAAACCAGCCAAGAUAUGCAACACUUCCCAACAUAAUGAAGGCAAGAUCAAAGGUUAUUAAAAAAGUCACUCCACAAGAACUGAAUGUGGAGAUAAAGUCGGACUUAGAGGUGGUUGAAGUCACAGAACCACCUAAAAGGAAAGCGGGUGUUAUGGUUUCUUCGGUGGAUGAGCUCAUCGACAAGUUGAAAACUGAAGCUCGUGUCUUGUAGGAAAUAUUUGCUAUAUUCAUUUGCAUUGAGUUGUCCAUGUUGGCAUUUAGGAGAACAGGAAAAUUUGAGCUUAGCGGUCUUCUAAGUAAUAUUUGCAUGAGUUGCUGCAUGUAAGAUGUCUUUUCAGAAUUUCUGAAAAUAAAUCAAGAAGAAAAUAGUUUUCACGCAUGCUCUCACUUAGUUUUCAACCUUUGAGUUCCCUUACUAGUUACAAGCAGCCUAGCAGAUAGAGUUAGGUUCUAUUAGAAGCUCAUUUUCAUGUCACACUAUAGCAAUUUUUCUGAGCGAGCUCGGAACAAGUUGUGUAUGGGGAUGAGGUAUGCACAAUAAAAAAUGCAAUACAUAUACUUUCAUGUAACAUCAACUUACUGUUACUUUACUAAUGCAAAUGAUUACAAAUGAUUUACUUCCAUGUAUUCACUGCUCUUGUUUUUAUUGUUCUUGUAGAUCACCUAUCCUUCUCUUGUAACUCAAUCCUUUGUCCUCAAUAAGAUUUUAGCACUUGAAAAACCAACACAAGAUAAUCAGUUGGAUAAGAAACAAAGGAUGAUUACAAUAGAAAGCAAUUGCUUGUUAUGUAUCAAUAGAAAGUGAGAAGGUGAGGGUAGAGAAGCAGAAAAUAAGCACGUGCAAGUUGUAGCAAAACUAUGUGUGUUAUAGUUGAAUUUGAUGGUUACAAAAAUAGAGAUGAAUUGCAAUUAUGGGUUACUGGGGCAUUAGACAGCAUAAAAUUCCUUCAUCUCAUCCUUCUCGCCAUUAUUUGUAGCUGAAACUUCACAUGCUCUGUUUUGUUUCUCAUAGGUUGAAUCUGGUUGUUUUUCUGUUUGUUCUCUGCAUUCUUUAUCUCUUUCUUUGCCCCAUAGAACCAGAUAGAGGCCAACAAUGACUAUAACCCCUCCCAUAAUGCUGGAAAAAAGAAAAGGGAAAGUUAAAUAUCUAAACUUCUUGUCAUUUGCAUUUGCAUAUUCAUGUCUUAGUACACGUUACAAUAUUUCUUAUUUUUUUAUUGCUAGAGGGCUAAGUUAAUAUGUUUAUACCUUCCCAUGUAUAAUCUUUCUCCGAAAACAAAGUAAGCUAAAAGUGCCACCAUUAUUGUCGAAAGGGGAUUGAACAUAGUCACAAAAACUGGUCCUUUUUCCUCGGUGCACCACAAUUGGAUAAAGAUUAUCAACCCAGAACAUACCACUCCCUGCAAAAUUAUUUUCUGUAAUAAGAAUUAAUUAUAAGAGAUGAAAUUUACUGUAGUCUCAGGUUGCAUACGGAGUAUAUGAUGCUCCAAAAUUUGAUGUCAAAUCCAAUAAUCCAUGCUGAUGUCUUCUGCUCGACAAAUGCAGUGAAAACUGCUGAUUGUGCUCCUCCGACGAAGCUCAUCCAUGUGGUGAGUGAAAGUUGUGCUGAGUAUCUUUUUAAUGUGAUUGCCUGUAAUGUUAAUGAAGCAUAAAAAAAAAAAUAACAACUUUUUUUUUAAAAAAAAUUAACUGAUGAACAUAUUAGUUGUGGUUGUGCAAAUGAGAUACAAUUAAAUGACUCAAUCGGAGAAAGCUUGUUCCAGUUAACUAGUACAUGCUAGUGAUUCCUGUUCCCUUUUCUUUGUUCAGUUUAUGUUUAUUUCUAAUUCAGAAGGAUGUUAUUCACUCAUUGGUGUAAUUUCUGUUCUCUAGCUAGUUUUCCAUUGUUCUGUUAUAUCUUGUAUGAUUGUAACUUAUGUCGCAUUUAAUUUACCACAUAGGUAGUUAAUUCUUCUUCAGUAUACACUACAGCACAUAGCUGUUUUUAUGCAUUAUAUUUGGAUGACCUUUUGAGUCAAAUACCUGCAUGAUAUACCAUAUGGACCAUGUGAUGCAGCUUGCUACUGUUAGAAUGGAUCCCUUCAACCAACUCUUAUGAACAGUACUGCUUCCCUGUAAAUGGAUUAGUGCCCCCCAUAAGUUUCUUAUUGCAUGCCCUUUGUACAGUGUCAUGGUUGUAACACCAGCCAAGGAAACUACGGUUCCUACAAUCUUCGCUAUCCCGCGAGGACUUUUUGCAUCAAGAUGCUCCAAUCUAAAUUAGGAGGUAACAAUUGAAUUAUUAGUGCUUCAGUAUUUAAUAAUUCACUCUAUCGAUCCAUUUUUCUACCUUUAUUGGGACCAGAUUGCUCAUCUGCUAUAGAACAAGGAUGUAGAGUUUUGGAUAUCGGUGCCAAACAUUGAAUGAUCAGUGCAUAGUUUUAAUAAUGUGUAAUAUCAUGUAACCUUAUUUCAUAUCUGUGCAUUGAUCAUUCAAAACUCAGAACCAUGAUUGUUUAGUGGAUCGGUUGUUCCAUCAAAACUUGAAAACUGGUUUAAGUUUCAGAAAAGAGGCCUUCUAUUUUUACAAAUCCAAGAAAAAUGUGGUUUUUUUUUUGGAUUUUCUUUUGCAGAAGGCUAAUGACUUAAAUUUAACAGGCAGUAUGUAGGAUGGAAAGCAUGUGUACCUAAGGCAAAGGGCAAUCACAAAUGUCAUUGAAGCAAUGGUAUUGACCACAGAGGAAACAAAAGUUGGAGAUGUAUAUCUUAAGCUUGUGAAGUACAUAUUAAGAGUUAGGCUGACCCUGUUGUCAUAAAAAGUUUAUCAUCGGAUAUCAAUUAUAUCAAUUAUUUGACUUCUAUUCAAUUAUCUGCAUUGACUGUUAUCGUUCUUACCCUAGAAGUGAAAGAACAGAUAUCUCUAGGAGCAAUGCCCAUGUAAACUUUGGUCUCAAUUUCCUGUAAAAAAUUCAUGAAAGAAAGUGAAAAAUGUCUCAGUAUUCUUUAUGGAACUGUAUUAAAUAUUUGUUGUAAACAAACUAACCUUUCAAGGAAAUAGGCAAAAGGCAACGUGGCUAGUCCACCGACGAAUUGUCGGUACGUAAUGAAAACAUGGGGGUUCAAUCCAUGAUUGAAUGCAGCUUCAGUAAUGAAAUAUAGAAUUGUGUAGCCUAGCUGUACGAGAGCCAUAAGAAAAUGUGGUUUAUAUCUCCUGCAUGUUCUUCUGAUCUGAGAUGUUGCCAGUGUCAUUAUUUUGUAUGCAAACUCCUUUUAUUUCAAUUGCGUAAUGGACCUCUCUUGCACUGCUGCUUAAAUGGGUUAGUUUAAUAGGAGUUAGCUUAUGGUUAUAUAGAGAAAGUUGGAUUCUUUCUGCUUGAUGCGAUACCUCUGCCGUGACGCUGGGGCAUCAUGUUCUGAAAAUCUCCACUUGAAAUGUUAACUGUGGGAUGCUCUGCUGUUGGUAUUUGGAUUCUUGAGGAUCUUACCUCUAUGGUCAAUAAGUAAAACAACCGGCUAUAGAAUCAUCAUAACUUGCCUGUUUCUGUUUACAAAUCAUGCCAUGACAAGUGUAGAUAUUCGCUUGUUUGAAUCUUUUCUGAUUCUCCUGAUGCAGAUUAAUCUUUUGGUAGGAAGUUUGUGUGUACAAGCACAAUUGAUAAAUAAUAUGUCGAAUCAUUCACUGUUGAACUUGGUUACUAACAUUUCUCAUAACCAUAACUUUAAUAUUAGGUCUUCAUUUCUUUUUCCUUAUCUCUGGGAAAGAGUUGUCAUUUAAUUUGCAGCACUGGCCUAGGACAACUAUAGAAAUUGCUAAAAGGAGAGAAUAGACUUGCCAAAAUCAUCAAAGUGUCAUACAUUUUCUCUUAUAUGGGAAGUAUAAUGAGGAUAAACAUAUUUUGGAUCUUUGCAGGUGAUGUAUAGGCUCAUGGAAGACACUGAAUCCACUUCUUUGUCAUCCUCCACUAUUCACCACUCUUUAUUUAGGUUUUAUGUUAGCUGAUAUUGGUCCAAUUAUAGAAUUCGUUUGGAUAUAUAAAUAUUUUAUUCAGCACAUCUUUAUUUACUAUUCGGUAAAUAAGGAGUAUAAUCAAUGUUUAGAAACAUUUACGGUAUUCAACUUCGAAUAAUUCUUUUGAAUUAAGAUUAACUCACUUCUUCAAGUUUUUAACCAGAAAAGAAUAUUCUCAUAGCAUACAAGUUAUCAUCAAAUAAUAUAUUCUGACAUCCAAAGAGUCUCUUCUUAUCACCAAAUUACUUGUAUUAGCAUCUGAAUAAGUCCUUGUUGAUCUAGUAAAGGGAUUGAUACUACUGCAAAAUUAGUGACAUUCCCAUGGGGAACAAACUAUAGCAAGUUGAUGUUGUUCUUAGUGCACCAAAUGGGCUAACACAUCAUGCUUUUGCUGUUGUAUGUAUUGAUGGAGAACCUACUGGAAAAGCUUUGGAGCAUCACCUGGUGGAGAAGAGACAGAAUGUGCUUCAUUCCAAUUCUUACUGGAAUCCUCCAGCAAUGCUGCAUCAUAUAUACUGAUUUGGUUUGUAAGAUAAUUUUCCCAGAAUUGGGAGCUUCAGUCUCACCGUUGGUACCACAAUUUGGUAAGCUGACACAUCCUCAGAAUAACUUAAUUAUGUUCUUUUGUCCUCCUUGCUAUAUAGAAGGAAAAAUAUUCUGAGAAGAUAUUUAACUAAGGACUUUGUUUGGAUGUCGGAUCAGAUUAUACAGAGAUCAGUUGUAUCGCCGACUGUUCCUAGUGCAAAUACCAAAAGGCUUGGUGGUUGGUAUCUGAGGUCCCAUAUUUGAAGUUUAGUUGUGUUACAUUUUCAGCUAAAUUUAUUUCUAAAAGAAAUAAACGAAGAGGGUUGCAUGCUACCUUUCUCAAAAAAAAAAAAAAAAAAAAAAAAANUGAUUAUCCAUCCAUGAAAUGAAUGACUCAAUUUGAUUCUUAUCCAAAUAGUAGGAAGUGUUGUGGGGAUUUGAAUAAGGGAAUGGAAUUUUGUUUGUGGUCCAUGACAGCAAAAAAGGGGUAGGUCAGUAGUGUAGGAGAAAGAAAGAUUCUGUAUAACUAUGUCAGCAAACCGCCGCACGUCGGUUACAAAAAAAAAAAAAAAAAAAAAAAUCAGUUGUAUCAAGGUUUCUUUGAUAAUUAUUAGAUGAUGGUCUCGGUAAUUUGUCUUCUAAAUGUUGGAAUGGAAUUGCUGAAAUUCUUUUUGCUCAUCUUGGACAUGUGUCAUAUAACUCAUAUCACCUGAAGAAUAAAUAAAGAGAAAGAAUAACUAAAGAAAAAAGGGCUUUUGGUUUAUUUACUCCUGGUUACAAAAUAUUCUUCUAAAUCCAAAUUCUAUUAGUAAACCCUAGGAUUUGGGGAUACUUGAAGGGAAUGUUGAAAAUUGAUGAGGAUAUUUUGGUCAAUCAGGAGUAUAUUAGAUAUUUUUUAAAAUUUUUAGAGGAUAUAUUAAAAUUGAGAUACAGAUAAGUUAUAGCAUGUGAACAUGGGAUACUCUACUUCCACUCAGUAUCCUAGCUCUAGUAAUUAAUAUUUAAACAAAAUUCUAUCAUUGUGUACUUAAUUUAGCUAGUCUAUGUGAGCAUUUACCUACAAAAAGCAAGGAGAUGCUUUCAAAAUAUCCUUCUAUGAUUUUUUAUUUAUUUAUUUUUUUUCCAUCUCUGUUGUAUUGAAAUACUUCUGUACUCACUGUUUAUUAUACUGUAAGAGUAUUUUUCAUAAUGGCAGAUUAAAAAUGACAUGCAGUCUGCAUCCUAAGCCGACUUCAAAUAUGUAAGGAAGGACAGAGCAUAAUAAACUUGUGUCUACUUUUGAUAACUAUUGAAAUAGUUUUUAUAGGGCUUUUUUUGCCUUUUCCCCCUUAAAAAGUUUUUUUCUUUAUAAAUAGUCCUACCAAAUUUAUAAUUAUAAUUUUAGUCGUAUCCCCGCCAUGCAGGGGCCACAUCAACGUCACGCAAGCUGGUUAGGGAGAGGGGUUAAGUUGAACACUGUGAACCAUUCACCGCGUUCAAAUACGGUAAGUGAUUCACCAUGUUCCACUAAUAUUCCCUUCCUUUUAAUAUAUAUAUUUUUUUCGCAAUACAUAUAUUUUCUCUAAACACCGUAAACUCUUUAUCAUGUUUAGACAUGGCGAAUGCAUUACCGUGUUCAACUUAUUCCAGCACCUUCAUCCUUACUCUCGUGGCACUCAUGUAGCGCCUGCGCAGUAGGAAUAGGCAAAAAUUACAAUUAUAAAUUUGGUAGAGUUAUUUAUAAAAAAAAAAAAUUUGAAGGAACCAAAUGCAAAAAAAAAAAAAAAAAAAAAAAAAAAAAAAAAAAAAAUUAUAUAUUGAGGCCUAAUUUGAUAAUGUAGUGGCUGAAAGGGACGGUAGGAGAUGACAACUGAAAGAGACGAUUAUUGAACUCGAACACGGGCCACGAACAUUUCAAAAAAUAAAACACGAGCAAAUACUCGUACAUGGGGAAAGCCUCGAGCCACGAGUUUUGCGCUUUCCAAAUAGUAGAUUCCCCUCCCCCCCCACAAAGUUUGCUUCGGGUUAUGACAAAGAACUCUCGGGAUAGAACGAGGCCAGAGAUACUCAAGAAGCAAAACUCGGAAUCUCUCACGCUCUUAACUUUGAAAUCUGAAAACUUUUUUUGGUGAUUUGAAUUUUGGCACAAGAGCCUCUAUUUAUAUGUUUUUUCAAAAGAUAAGUCAUGUCUUGUUUGAACAGACAUAAUCGAAAAGUUAUGUCUGUUUGAACAAACAUGCCCCUACAAAGAAAUCCAUUCAUUUGAACAGAUAUGUCCCUACAAAGGAAUCCAUUUGUUCAACAAAUAAAUUUUACCAAGUAACUUAUCAAAUACACAUCAUUACAAUUUGCAAUCUAAUUUCUCAACAGUGGCUAAAGCACUUAUUUGAUAUUCUAAAUAAUCUACUUUUCAAUCGUUCCUCUUCAAAUGCUACGAAGUUACAGUCAUAAUCGUCAUCGGAUAAGUAUAUAAAUAUAUGCAAUUCUUAGCUGAGCGUUACCACUGUAGUUAAAAUAGACCUUCCCAAGUAUUAAAAAAGACAAAAAUUAAGCUUUCAACCAUCAAAUUAAGGAACUAAGCUUAAUUAGCACAAGUGCUAUAUAUUAAUACUUCCUAAUUAAACAACUAAUUCACUCAAAAACUACAUUACAAAAACAUGAUCUGAUGUAAACAACUAAAAAAACAUCGAAUCUUAUAACAACAAAGCUCCGUUUUUAUCUAAGCUUGCGUUCGUAACGAGAGGGCGAUCGAUAAAACCGGCGUUAAUUAUCAGCUUUACUACGUGGCUAAUCUCUUCUUAAUUUGACAGUUAAAAUUAAUUAAUUUGCACUCACUUUAUUAUAAUUUGGAGAACAGUGUGAUAAAAACAACUGAGAAGUUUAUAAAAUUGAAAAGAGAAAAUAAAGCUUAAUUUUGGUGACCCAUUAACAAAACAGUUUGUAAUACAACAUAUUAAUAAUUCAUAGUCUAAAUUACAGAAAACCCCCUUGUAAUAACCCGAUUUUUCACUUUCCCCUCCUGACAUUUAAAAACCUACACUUUACUCUCUUGUAAAAUGAAAAAUGUUCACAGAAAAAUUACGGUGUGUAAAAUGACCAUUUUGCCCCUCGCCAUUGUUGUCUUCUUUCCUAUCUUUCUCAGCCACCCGUCGAUUGGCCGCGAUUCCCACCUCCAUCGGCCGCGAUUUCUCUCCAUUUUCUUCUCCACCUGCUCUCCUUCUUCUCCUGCACCCUCGCCGCCCCUCGAGAGGAAACCGAGACGGGUGUUGAUGGAGAGGUUGGCAAGGACAACGAGGGCGAAGGCGAAGCAGCGGAGGACGGCGAAGGGGAUGUUUCGGCAAAAAAAAAAAAUUUAUAACGGAACCCUAACGGUAGGGAGUAAAGUGCACAUUUUUUAUUUUACAAGGGAACAAAGUAUAGGUCUUUAAAUGCCAGGGGGAGAAAGUGAGAAAUCGGGUUAUUACAAGGGGAUCUUUUGUAAUUUAGCCUAAUUCAUAUGUAUACAUUGUAUAUAGGGGUAAAUUUUACGCCUCUCUCAUUCAAGGGUUUACAAAAUAUUGUUAGAUUUUUAGUGUUAUAAAAGAAAAAAAAAUUCCACAGAUCGAGAUCAAAUAUAAAAUAAAGAGCAAUUAUGAAAGAAGCGUAAAAUAUUUUCUUUAUACUUUAAUAGGUGUUUCUUUUUUAACUUUUUUUUUUUUUUUUUUUUCUGAGGAUUGUUCUUUUUUAACUUGAGAUCUAAGUUUAUGGGCAUCAUCUAUUUAAUGAUCACUCAAUUUAGUUUAAAAAAGUUCUCACGAACAAACUAUAUCUCUUUUUCUCUAUAAAAUUAAAUUACACAUCUCAAAAGUAAUAAAAUAUGAAAUACACCUUUCAUACUUUAGGAAUGCGUCAUUCACCUAAGCUGAACUACGCAUCAUCCUAUCGUUAACGUACAAAUUAAAGUAUUCCCCGAAAAGAAAAAGCUAACUUACAAAAAAAAUUUCUUAUAAAUAUUUACAUUUUUCACUUUUUCUUUCUAUUUUUCAAAAAUCUACAUUUUACCCUCUAACUAUUUUGAGUCGUCGCAUUUACUCCCUCCAUCAAGAUUCCAUCAGUAUUACCAAAAAUACUCUUUAAAAUAAUAAAAUAAAUUAAAAAAAUAUUUUUUUAUAGAAGAAGUAAAGGUAAUUUAGUCAUCUUCUCUCGAUUAACAGCGUGUCCCGCUUAAAAAUAUUUCUUAAAUUUUUUUUAGAGAGAGAGAGAGAUAGGCAACAUGCUAUCAAUUUCGUUUAUUUCAUUUAAAAAUAAACUUACCUGAAAAUAUGAAUCAAUUAUGAUUCAAACUUGGGAUCAAAUAACGAUCGAUUCCUUUUUCAAAAGACUUGAAAAGUGGAGGUUUUGGCCACGUCUCUGAAUAUGGGUAUCAACCAUCGAACAUUUUGCCACUCGCGCUAGGGACAGUCAGAAAAAUAAAAGUAUAAUAGCCAGACCCUAUAUAGUAGCCAUGGCCUAUAGCCAUGAAAACAACUUUUCAACUUUUCAACUUUUCAGGGCGAUUGUACUCAGAAUAGUAUAGGCCAUGGCUACUAUACUAUUAUAAGUAUUGGAGCCCUCGUUCUCAUAAGUUGUUUUCAAUGAUGGAGCUUCUGAAUCGACGAUCUACUCCAUUAAAUAUGAUCUAGAGUAUUUAAAAUUUCUAGAAAAUAAAUUUCGUUAAUUCGAAAUCAUAAUAAAGUCCAUCAAGUGGGCAUAAAAUGAACGGUCGAAAUCGAAUGAUGUCCUAAAAAAGGAUAAUCGGAUUUUUCAAUUCAAGAUCGGAGUUAUUGAUUUUUAUCUAUAUAGUGAAUAGAAUUUUCUAUCAAAAAUUCAACAAAUUCCGAUUCUUUUACACUAUUAAACUAGCAAAUAUUCCAUACCGGCCGUAAAAAAUCGUCAAAUUUAUGACCUCUUGAUCGUAAGGUAAAUGAUGUCGAAAAUUUAUAAAAUUUGACAAUUUUUUAAGGCCGUUUGUGACCUCUUGAUCGUAAGGUAAAUGAUGUCGAAAAUUUAUAAAAUUUGAUUUCUGAAAGUUUUAAAUGCUGUAAAUAACGUUUAACGGUGUGGGUCAUCGAUUCGGAAGCUCUAUCAUCGAAAACAACUUAUGAGUACGAGGGCGAUCGUACUCAUAAUAGUGUAGUAACCGGACGCUCUAUAUAUAUAUAUAUAUAUAUACAUAUAUAUAUAUAUAUAUAUAUAUAUAUGUAUAUAUAUGUAUAUAUGUAUAUAUAUGUAUAUAUGUAUAUAUGUAUAUGUAUAUAUGUAUAUAUAUGUAUACAUAUAUAUAUAUAUAUGUAUACAUAUAUAUACAUAUAUACAUAUACAUAUAUACAUAUAUACAUAUAUAUACAUAUAUACAUAUAUAUACAUAUAUAUAUAUAUAUAUAUAUANNNNNNNNNNNNNNNNNNNNNNNNNNNNNNNNNNNNNNNNNNNNNNNNNNNNNNNNNNNNNNNNNNNNNNNNNNNNNNNNNNNNNNNNNNNNNNNNNNNNNNNNNNNNNNNNNNNNNNNNNNNNNNNNNNNNNNNNNNNNNNNNNNNNNNNNNNNNNNNNNNNNNNNNNNNNNNNNNNNNNNNNNNNNNNNNNNNNNNNNNNNNNNNNNNNNNNNNNNNNNNNNNNNNNNNNNNNNNNNNNNNNNNNNNNNNNNNNNNNNNNNNNNNNNNNNNNNNNNNNNNNNNNNNNNNNNNNNNNNNNNNNNNNNNNNNNNNNNNNNNNNNNNNNNNNNNNNNNNNNNNNNNNNNNNNNNNNNNNNNNNNNNNNNNNNNNNNNNNNNNNNNNNNNNNNNNNNNNNNNNNNNNNNNNNNNNNNNNNNNNNNNNNNNNNNNNNNNNNNNNNNNNNNNNNNNNNNNNNNNNNNNNNNNNNNNNNNNNNNNNNNGAGAGGAUGCGGGCGCAUCCAUGGCGCGAAAUGGCUCGCGGGCACAGUACAUUCUGGAGUUCAGCACGCCGCAGCGGCUGACGGUGAUGGGCCCGAGCUCGACGUCGUGGAGUUCGCACGCCGCAGCACCCGUCGACUGGCACGAACCGCUGGGCGGCCGGCGCCGCUCCUCUCGCGGAACGUCCGCGGGAGUCGUGUCCGCGGCUACCUCCGUUCAACGCCAUCGCUGGCGACGACGCGUCACGCGGCUUCGAGGCGAUGGGCAGUGCACCGCGUCGUCGCCCGCGGGAGGGCUCAGGGGUGGCGUCGACUGCGAGAGGAGGCGGUCGGCGGGGGCGUCGAAGUGGCGGUUGUGGUGGAGGGUGUUUGGUUGUAAUGAUAUGAAGAAGAGGAAGGAGAAGGAGAAGGAGAAGGAGAAGAAGAGUUGGAGGUGGACUCUUGGGGACUACCGCAGUAGAUGGCCGCAAGGUUGGUGUUGAUGAUUGCAUGGUGAAUAAUAAUUAGUUGUGUUCUUUUCGCAAAGGGUUUAAUAGCAGGUACUCGAUGUCCUAACGUCGAAGCUUACUUGUUUCAUAUUUUUAGCUAGGGUUAAUUUUAUAAGGAUCUCUCUAAACACAGUCAAUGACAAAUAUAUUUCUUUAAAGUUCAACUUUUAUGUGUUGUUUCUGUAAAAAUCCUGAUAUUUUCAAAUAUGUCUCUCUGAUUUAUUACCGUUAGAAAACGGUCAGAGAACUGUUUAUAUUUUCAAUUUUACCAUCACAAAUAUAUUACUCCAAAAACCAUAACAGUAUAAUAUGAAGAGGUAAAAAUGUCAAAACCUAACCAGAGAUGAGUUUUAACCUACGGUUAACUAAAUUUUUGUAACGAAUUCUAACAUCGGGGAUAUAUUUGAAAAUAUCAGGACUUUUGCAACGAUAAUAUAUAAAAGUUGAAAUUUAUAGGAAUAUAUAUUUGUCAUUCAAUCACUAUAUUUACAGUGACCUGUAUGAAAUUAACCCUUUUAGCUAAGUUCUGUUUUAAAAGCAAAUUAUACUUUUGGUCCUCAAACUAUGAGGUGACUAAUUAAUACUUUUAGUCAUCUGUGACACCCCAAUAAUCCCACAUCGGAUGAGAAUGGGGUUGUCAUUGGGUUUAUAAGAGACUUAGACACUAGUAAUAAUAACUGGGUUUAAGAAUUUUGGGCCGGUUGUUGGGCCCAACGAGUUAUUGUUGCUAGUGGACUGGGUCGUUACAUUUGGUAUCAGAGCCGGUUCACCAGCUGGACAUGUGUGGCGAGUCUCGGCUGAGCCAGGGUCUGGAUGACAGGCUAGCGAGACGAGUCUCACAUAGCCUGGUGAUCUUGGGCUGUGUGUGUUUGGACUGACGAGGACGUCAGGGCCUUAACGGGGGGAGUAUGUGACACCCCAAUAAUCCCACAUCGGAUGGGAAUGGGGUUGUCAUUGGGUUUAUAAGAGACUUAGACAUUAGUAAUAAUAACUGGGCUUAAGCAUUUUGGGCCGGUUGUUGGGCCCAACGAGUUAUUGUUGCUAGUGGGCUGGGUCGUUACAUCAUCCCACUUGACUUGAACUAUGAAUCAUGUGACACUUUAGUCAUCAAACUUUAAUUCAUUGCAAUUUGUUGUUCAAACUAUAAGACUGUGAUACUUUAGUUCUUGAACUGUAAUUAAUUAUAAUUUCUAAUUCAAAAUUUGAGGUAUAUUAUAUUUUAGUUCUCGAACUAUCUGAAUUAGUCUAUCGCCACAUUAGAAAACGCCGACAAAUAAAGAGUCA
rnacentral:lncRNA from 1 species